rnacentral:misc_RNA from 1 species
UUUCCGUAGGUGAACCUGCGGAAGGAUCAUUCAUAAUAAAGUGUUUUAUGGCACUUUUUAAAGAUCCAUAUCCACCUUGUGUGCAAUGUUAGAUCUCGUCAAUCUUGGCGAGAUUUUUAUACAUCAACUCAUUCUUUAACUAAUUUGUCUGGAAAAUAUUAUGAAUACUUAAUUCAAAAUACAACUUUCAACAACGGAUCUCUUGGCUCUC